UUUAUAUUGGCUUUGAUGGAACAUGGUUCCAUGAGAAAUCUCAGAUAAGACUUUAAAGCCUUGAGCCCAGCCAUGGUUUUCUGCCAACCAUAUCUGAAUGAGUUGAGUAAAUUUCUCUCCUCUUGAGGUCUUAAUAUAACUUGGGGAUCCUGGGCCUGCUAGGAACUGAUAUUCUUUCCUUACCACAGGUCAGGAACCCUGUACAGGAACUGUAGAGACUAGUUAUGAGGCCAGUUUUCUCAAGGGGAUUUUAUUGUCUCUAUAAGUCAACUUUGAUUCCUUAAAGGAGUCUGUAUCUCAAAGCAAGAGAAUGAGGGGUGGGAUGUAGUGAUGUCACAAGAGUCCCAUUAUGACCCCUACCCCAUCAUUGGAGCAAGGACUGGCUAAGCCUGAGCAAGGGUGGGGGAAAUAAAUAAGGCACUGUUGCUAGGGCCUGAGCCCAGCAGAGAAAGGCUGUGUGCAGAGGGAGGGCCUCGGGUCCUGCUGCUCCUCCUGGACUCCUUCAUCCCAAUCCCUUCACAUCCUCCUCUAACAAGGACACCCACAUCCCUCCCCGGCUAACUUGGAUCCUGCUCAACGCAACACCUGCCUUUCCUGAGUCCCCGGGUUCCUGCAGGCCUCAGGGCCCCACAGUUAUAUCUGCUGUUCCUGCAGCAGAGAGGUUGUACUGGGUUGAGAGAGAGGCCUCAGAAUCAAGACUUUGUCUCCUGCCACCGUUUACCCUGGUGAAGCUCCCAGGCCAAGCAGAAACUUCCAGGUCGAACAUAAACAGCCUUCAGCCCUCAGAGAGGAGGUGGCACUAACACUCCAAGCGGGCGGCUGCUCUGUGGUCUUCUGCUGCCUGGAGAGGUUGCCUCCAUCACUGGUGCCCACCUGAGGAAUACUCAGGAAGUACUCUUCAAAGGUACACUCAGAUGCCCACUCUGCAAAGCCAUUUUGUUUCUUGAAUGUACCUCUGAAAUCAUGUGUUAACAAAGCAUUUGGAAAUCCACCUGUCUUCUGUAUGUGGCAUAUCUAUAGACACUGAGGGUGAAAAACAAGGGCAAGACUCGAUUCCUUUUCUUUCUUGCUUUCUUUGCUUUCUUUCUUUCUUUUUUUUUUUUUUUUUUUGAGACAGAGUUUUGCUCUUGUUGCCCAGGCUGGAGUGCAAUGGUGCAAUCUCGGCUCACUGCAACCUCCGCCUCCAGGGUUCAAGCGAUUCUCCUCUUUCAGCCUCCCAAGUAGCUGGGAUUACAGGCUCAUGCCACCAUGUCUGGCUAAUUUUUAUAUUUUUAGUAGAGACGGGGUUUCAUCAUAUUGGUCAGGCUGGUCUCAAACUUCUGACCUCAGGUGAUUCACCUGCUUCAGCCUCCCAAAGUGCUGGAAUUACUGGUGUGAGCCACUGAGCCUGGCCCGAUUCCUUUUCUUACGGAGCUCACAGUUCACUAGAUGAGACAGAAGGAAGCUGAUUCUGAAAGGAAACAGGGU
rnacentral:lncRNA from 1 species